GUGUUCACUUUGGCAGCACAUAUGGUAAAACUGGGCUAACACAGAGGUUAGCAUGCUUCUUGCUGAAGGAUGACAUCUGGUGAAGUGGUCCAGAUUCUU
rnacentral:snRNA from 1 species